rnacentral:rRNA from 1 species
AUUGAACGCUGGCGGCAGGCUUAACACAUGCAAGUCGAGCGGAGAUGAGGUGCUUGCACCUUAUCUUAGCGGCGGACGGGUGAGUAAUGCUUAGGAAUCUGCCUAUUAGUGGGGGACGACAUUCCGAAAGGAAUGCUAAUACCGCAUACGUCCUACGGGAGAAAGCAGGGGAUCUUCGGACCUUGCGCUAAUAGAUGAGCCUAAGUCGGAUUAGCUAGUGGGUGGGGUAAAGGCCUACCAAGGCGACGAUCUGUAGCGGGUCUGAGAGGAUGAUCCGCCACACUGGGACUGAGACACGGCCCAGACUCCUACGGGAGGCAGCAGUGGGGAAUAUUGGACAAUGGGGGAAACCCUGAUCCAGCCAUGCCGCGUGUGUGAAGAAGGCCUUAUGGUUGUAAAGCACUUUAAGCGAGGAGGAGGCUACUGAGACUAAUACUCUUGGAUAGUGGACGUUACUCGCAGAAUAAGCACCGGCUAACUCUGUGCCAGCCGCCGCCGUAACAC